rnacentral:rRNA from 1 species
UACUCCUACGGGAGGCAGCAGUAGGGAAUCUUCGGCAAUGGGGGCAACCCUGACCGAGCAACGCCGCGUGAGUGAAGAAGGUUUUCGGAUCGUAAAACUCUGUUGUUAGAGAAGAACGUUAAGUAGAGUGGAAAAUUACUUAAGUGACGGUAUCUAACCAGAAAGGGACGGCUAACUACGUGCCAGCAGCCGCGGUAA